rnacentral:tRNA from 1 species
GCCGAAGUGGUGGAACUGGUAGACACGCUGUCUUGAGGGGGCAGUGAACGAAAGUUCGUGCCGGUUCGAGUCCGGCCUUCGGCA